rnacentral:tRNA from 1 species
AACACUGUAGUUUAAGUGGAAAAACGAUUGGUCUGCAACCUUUAGUUUCAGGUUCGAGCCCUGAUAGUGUUA